UGGGAAGGCCCAGACAGCCAGGAUGUUGGCUUAGAAGCAGCCAUCAUUUAAAGAAAGCGUAAUAGCUCACUGGUCGAGUCGGCCUGCGCGGAAGAUGUAACGGGGCUAAACCAUGCACCGAAGCUGCGGCAGCGACGCUGAUGCGUUGUUGGGUAGGGGAGCGUUCUGUAAGCCUGUGAAGGUGGCCUGUGAGGGUUGCUGGAGGUAUCAGAAGUGCGAAUGCUGACAUAAGUAACGAUAAAGCGGGUGAAAAGCCCGCUCGCCGGAAGACCAAGGGUUCCUGUCCAACGUUAAUCGGGGCAGGGUGAGUCGACCCCUAAGGCGAGGCCGAAAGGCGUAGUCGAUGGGAAACG
rnacentral:rRNA from 2 species